rnacentral:rRNA from 1 species
UACAGAGGUGGCAAGCGUUGUUCGGAAUUACUGGGCGUAAAGGGCGCGUAGGCGGCUUGGUCAGUCCCGUGUGAAAUCCCUCGGCUCAACUGAGGAACUGCACGGGAAACUGCCUGGCUUGAGUUCGGGAGAGGGAAGCGGAAUUCCAGGUGUAGCGGUGAAAUGCGUAGAUAUCUGGAGGAACACCGGUGGCGAAGGCGGCAUCCUGGACCGGUAUUGACGCUGAGGCGCGAAAGCUAGGGGAGCAAACGGG